CACGUCAGUGCGAUUUACUGAUGUGGUCACAAAUCGCGUCCACAUUAGAGCGAUUUGUGUCCAUGUCAGCGAAGCGCGCUGACGUGG
rfam:Gossypium hirsutum cultivar TM-1 chromosome 25, whole genome shotgun sequence